rnacentral:lncRNA from 1 species
GUCUUUUUGGAGAUAAAUGGGCUAAUUAUCUCAUUUUAGAGGAAAACAAGCUAAGUAUAUAAUAUUCAUGAGCUAACCAAGGUUCUUAUGCCGUUUUGAGGUUAUUAUGGCAUUUUGGAGCUAAGUGGACUAAUUAUGUCUUUUUGGNNNNNNNNNNNNNNNNNNNNNNNNNNNNNNNNNNNNNNNNNNNNNNNNNNNNNNNNNNNNNNNNNNNNNNNNNNNNNNNNNNNNNNNNNNNNNNNNNNNNNNNNNNNNNNNNNNNNNNNNNNNNNNNNNNNNNNNNNNNNNNNNNNNNNNNNNNNNNNNNNNNNNNNNNNNNNNNNNNNNNNNNNNNNNNNNNNNNNNNNNNNNNNNNNNNNNNNNNNNNNNNNNNNNNNNNNNNNNNNNNNNNNNNNNNNNNNNNNNNNNNNNNNNNNNNNNNNNNNNNNNNNNNNNNNNNNNNNNNNNNNNNNNNNNNNNNNNNNNNNNNNNNNAUAUGAAAGAGGAGAAGAGAAACUUACCGUAGUGGUCAUCAAGGAGGAGAAACACCACGGUUGCUCGUGGCGGCUUCGUUUGGAGACGGUUGCCCUGGAGAAGGGUCGUGUGAUGCCGCUCGGGAGUUAUUCUGCAGAAAAGAUAUUUUGCAAUGUCUAAGUUAGCAUGAUGACACUCAAUUAUUAAUACUAGUUUAUAAUGAAACUCACCGUGCUAAUUGAAGAGAAGACGGGCAUCGGCGGAGGAACUUGACCGCUCUUCUCGCACAGACCCUGAAGAGUGGGUCGUAUUAGUUAGUAAUGAAACAGACAUUACAAACAUGAUUUGGCUAAUGUGAAAAGAAACAUACCACAAAAAGCUCGUAGAGGGCCCGUUGACCCGCCUCAUUACGGGCCCUCUCCUCCUCAAUCAAUCGUGUCGGUCUGGUCCCUCUCAUCAAGAGCAGCCUGAAGAGCAGCCUGGCUUGCCAAUCUCUCUUUCUCAAGAGCAGCCUGGUUUGCCGCUCUCUCUUUCUGAAGAGCAGCCUGAAACACCAUUCCUCUUUACCACAGUAAUAAUCUAUGGUGACACACAUAAUGAAAUGGAUGAAAGUGUUCUUAGUCCGUACAACUAACCUCGAUGGCAAGUUCGACUUGCUGUGGACGACGCGUUAGGUCAGGACAGCUGCUCGACUGGCGCGCCUUGGUCUCCGAAAGAGUGAGUGGACAACGUAUUAUCCCAUCUCCAAUGGCUAUCGAGCCAUGGGGCCUCCCGCCACCAGAUAUCAUCACCAGCUCUGGAUCCAAAGAUUCCUUGCUAGGGUUAAAGUGAUCCCCUUUCGUAGCCUUCCACGCGUCCCUGUAUGCCACGAGCUUCUGGUGGGAUGAUAUGUUGGUGAAGUUAUUGGGAUCAUCCAGGUCACACUCAGAGAAUGCCUUCGCCUUCUUGUAUGAGGCAGUAUGGGCCAUGCCAUAAAGGUCGUACAAGUGUGGCAUCUCAGUCUUAUUGUGAUGUGCCUAAAAGAGAGGAAUAAAAUAUUAGCAUCAAGAAUGAAUUGCAUGAAUCAUGAAGCAAAUCACAUACCCAAUUUCGUCCAAACUGAAGUAAGUUGGCGCUGUCUUGAUGGUGUGGCACACCAACCAUUUGGCUACGUCGAUCCUUUGCAUUCUCGUGGACGGCUCGCCAACUGCCUAUGCACCACUCAACAACCAACACCUCCCAACAAUCCAUCUUAUCCGCACACCAUCUCGGGGCACCUGUAAGUUAUUAGAAAGAAUUUUCAGCGCUACGCCUAUGAAUGAAAUCAAGAAAACUACGUAGAAGGACUUAAGAAUAGGUAAUUACCUUCAUGCAUUGCUCCUUCUUGAGAAACUUUCCACGGCAAUCCUUCUUCUGCUUCUUAAUACCACGCCGAGCCUUGUGGCGCAAGUUCUGUAGUAACCGCCUACACUCGGCCUCGAGAACCCUGGCCGCCUCCUCCUCAUAUCCUGUAACGACCAAGAUGCGGUCCUUUCCGAUCUGGUGGUCGAGGCCCCCGAAUAGGAAAGAAGCGCAUCUAAGCAUUUCGCAAGCAAGUAAACAUAGCACAAAAUAAUAAUUACAAGUGGACAAUUUGGGAUUCAACUGUCUUCUUAUUAAUAAUACAGAGUACAACGCAGAUACAAACAAGGUAGUUCCGGUACGGAGUACAAAACAAGGAAAAUGCUAUGCUACCCGCUGCAGGCCCACGAUCAUGACCACGGCUCAGUCCUCUGGAUAGUUCACGUAAAGGCGGUCUGUCUCCUCAUCGUACUGCCACGCCAGCUGGGUGCCGUCGGGAUCAUCUACCUCUGGGGUACCUGUACCUGCUGGGAGUUUCGGAGGAAUCCGUGAGCCACGGGGACUCAACAAUCUAAGACCUUGGUGCCAGAACUAGUCAUGUUAUUGGGUAAGGAAGGGAUGAAGUGUUUCAGGCUGCUGCAACCUAUGAUUGAAUAAGUGGCUAACUUACGCAAUAGGGAAGUGAAGGUGGUCUACUCUAACGGUCGGGAUUACUUGAUCAGUAAGUGAUCCUGAACACCUACCUACGGCAUUCAUAACCCCACCGUGUUCCCGAUCGAAGAGAGAUCUUCGAAGGGACAGUCACGGUUACACACACAGUUGGCAGUUUUAUUAGUUUAGGUUUAAGUUCUCUAAUACCGGAUGUUAACAAAAUAUUCCAAGUUGCCACAUAACCGCGGGCACGGCUUUCCAAAAGAUUAAACCCUGCAGGGGUGCUCCAACUAGUCCAUCACAAACGAACACAUGCCGCAAAGGCAUCCUCUAUCACGAAUCUCGUGAUCUCAUCAGAUUCCUUAGAGGAAAACCUCAACUUUGGGUGAAACCAAAGCUUCACUGGGAUUCCUAUACGCAAGAUAUACCGCUAAGGUAAGACAAGGCUAGCAGGACCUCCCGACGUGUCGACAACCCCGAUAAGAGCCACGUAUCUCAGUCUCAGGACACGCCGGAUGGAACUAGCUACAGGUACCAAACCUCAAGUUUCCUUGUGGUGGCCCCGCAGGUAGACCAAUUUGGACCAACACUCAUGAGGAGCACUGGCCCGGGUUGUUGAUUAAGAAACCUCGGGGUAGCUACUCCCUAUUCAGAUUAUUAUUAAGUGAUUAGCAAAUUAACACCAAAGUUGGGUCCUGCCGGACAAGCCUUAACACUACGCGAUUUAUCAAGGGGGUCCCCAUAACAACCCCGAACGUGUUAGGAGCGAUCAUUAUGGAAUCAAACACCGGUAACCGGUAUCUAAGGCGGCAAUAACGGAACAAAGCACCCGGCAAAAGGCUAGGCCUCCGUCAUUGACCAAGUAUAUAGGUACAUUAAUUAAAUAACAGCAUUUAAGAUAAUGAUAUCAGGCUCAUGUCAUCACAUGAGUUUAAAACACCUGCAACUAACAAUGCUAACAUUAGUAGCUGAGCAAGCCUACCUAGCCAUACAAGUUUGCUAGGAAAGAGUACGGUGUUUAGGCUCAUGGCAUAUGAAGAGGCAAUUUAAUUUCAGUGGUAGGCAGCGAGCAAUAUGACAUGGAAUCGAAACUAACAUAACAAGUCUAGAGAUGGAAUCAAGGUCAUAUCAUCUUGCCUGUGAUAUCCUCAGCUUGGAAUGGUUCUGGAUCGUUCUGCACGUACUCUCUUGACUCCACGUAUUCGUUCUCCGCUCCCGGUGCUAUCCAACAUAAGAAUAACAGCCAAUGAACAGCAGCACCACAAAAUGCAACAAUCACAUGAUGCAUGAGAUGAAAGUUGAGCAUGCACCACUAUUUCUAAUACUAGCACAAGCAAAAAUAAACUACAGCAAGUUUCUGGACAGAACUGUGCACUAAGCUAUUUUGACAUGCAUGAGAAUGACAUGAACAGGUGCAGCUCAUAAAAAACGGUGCAAAACCAUAUAAAGAACAUUGCAAACGGAGCUACGGAUCAAUGGGAAUCAACGAAACAAGAUAUGAAGCUCUACGUGAAAGAUUCAACCCCCCACACACAAUUGGCACAAAUCUGGUAUUCCCAGGUUGCCAAGACAUGUAAUAACUCAACAUAAAUGAAAUGGAGCAAGGUAGAACACCACAACAUCAAUGAAUCACAAACUUUGAACAAAAUGGCAAAACUAUAUAAUCUGCCAGAAUCUGCAUCUUAGCUGUUUGGGAGCAACAUGCAACAUAGCUACAGGUCUUCAAACAUGACAAAUAAUAUAUGUGGCUGUUUCCAACCAAGAACACUACAAGAACCAGCAAGAAUCACAACAAAAGGAAUUAAACUCUAGAAGAUACAAGGCCACAAACUUUCCCAAAACCAUCAGAUCUCAGGGACUUAGUGAAAAUUCCUGCACCUGAGUUUCUGUUUCUGUUCUGAAGCUUUUUGACAGCAAUCAAAACACAAGCUACUGGACUCCAAAUGACUUGAAAAUUUACAGGAAGCUUCACAAACAUAUCAGGUUCAAUAUACUAGCACUGAACUAAGGCCAGUUCUCAACAGAAUGACCAGCACAUCCUCAUCUACAGGGGAAGAAAAUGUUUCCAGAAUCCCAGACUUGUGAAAUUUUCAGAGUUCAAAAAUCUGGAAUUUUCCAGCCACAUGCCCACUUUGUCUAGGCAUAGUUUGCACACACAUGUCACCAAGAGGUGGUUGACACCACUAUGGUGUUGAGCACAAACCCCUACUAUUAACACACAACAACCCAUGCCCUUGGGCUCCACCUAUACCAUGGAAUCAAGGACCAAACUGUCAACAAAACUGCAAAUGCAACUCCAUAAGGUAUUCUUCUAAGAUGACAAUUACAUAGGUUGAGUUUCAUGUGCACAAUGACAAAGUGACAUGGGGGUUUGAACCCCAUGUUUGUGUCAUGCACAUCAACAACACCAACACAUAUACCACACUAUCACUAGCAUCAAGCACUACAAAAAUAAAACUCCUAUGCUACAAGAGAGUUUGCACACCCUCACAUAUGGGCAUGUGAUGGUACACACUCUCACAUGCACCAUAAGGAACACCCUAGGAAUCAUGUCAUCCUCAAGGUGCAACCCCCACAAUAAUCUACCCAUGUUUAACUAGUAAGCUCCACCUACACAUGCUUAUCAUAGCUAGCCACCUAGUGCAUCACAUACACACCAAAAACAUGUGGUGAGGGGGAGGCAUCCACACCCCACUAAAUCUAUACAAGAAAUUAAAACUACAAGAACAACUUAGCCCACACUAAAGCUCAUUAGAUGUGGCUAUACAUGAUUAACUAGUGCAACUUUCACACCUUAAAGCACAACACUUAUAAAUAGCAAAACAACUAGCACCAACUCCUAUCAAGGGUAGCUUCACAUCACAAAGGUGCAAUCACCAUAAGUUCUCAAGGCUAGCAAACAUCAUCUAUCACUCACUAGUGUGCAAAACACACACACAAAGAAAUCUUCCCUAAUUAUACUAGCAGGAAAAGAACUAAAACACCACUAUGUCUAAGAGUUAGCUAAACAGAAAAUUAGCAGAACUAAAAUGCCACUUUGCCUAAGAGUUAGAAAAACAGGAAAUAAAAUAGGCAGAAAAGAAAAGACAACAAAACAAAAAAAUAAAAAGAAACAGGGGCUCCUGGGAAUCGAACCCAGAACCUCUGGUUUCCAGCAACAGCACCACUCCACCACACCACUGUCAUCUAGUCGACAGGAUAGAGGAAAACAACAGAGUAAACUGUUACACUGGUCACUGUGCAAUAAAAUCUCCAGAACAAAAGAGGGCCGAGGGGGGGAUCGAACCCGUGCCCUCUCAUCAGGCACAAACACGCGCUACCACUGCACUACGGAUCGACGUCUGAACCUAUACACGCUGCAAAACAGAAGAUGACACCCCCUGCUCGUCUGCUACCGACGACUAGCCGGAACAGGGGAGGUGCCUCGCCGGCGCUGCGAGUCGAAUUCGUCUCCGGCUCGUGGAGGGGAGGAAGCCCACAUCCACACGGAUCCAUCCCCGCAACUAUCUAUGCCCAAGGGGCUCUACUGCGACGUGGCCACGGCGACCUGCGGCUCCGGCGACAGGAACAUCUCGCCGACGAACUCUACUGCUUCGGCGCUUGAUCUAAGGCAGGGAGGAAGGAGGGGGUGCACUACCUCACGUACGAGUCGAGGAGGGAGUGACCGUAGAGGAAGUAGCGGGAAGAAGAAUGCGCAGCGGCGGAGCUCGUCGGAGAAGAAGGGCCUCCAAGAGGAAGAUGAUGUAGUGUCGGGGACGUCGAUCUAGCGGCGGGAACGAGCCCGUGGAGAGGCCCGCGUGCUCCUGGACCCCUCGACGUGGAGGAGAAGGUACCACGGCGACGACGGUGAUCUCCUUCACCCGUCGGCCAUGGCAGAUCCGGCGCUUAUCUUACCGCGACGAGAGAGGAAGGAGGGAGAAGGGAUCUGGUGGAGCGGCGGCGGAAGGGAAUCCCUAGCCGAGGCACGGACGCCAAGGGCUUUUAUAGGGCGAGAGGGGAACGAGGGACGUGCCGCGGUGCCAUGUGCGUGCGGGGAGCUUCAGCUCGAGGAGGGGAGGCGAGGUGAGAGACUGACUAGUGGGGCCGCCUGCCUCGCUGGAAAGAGGAGGAUGACGACGCCCGCGCGCGUGACUGGGGAAGAAGUGGGCUGGGCCGUGAGGGUUGAUUGCCACAGGCGUCAGAUAGAGGAAAAGGCUGAGAGGAAUUUGAAUUCGUUUAAAAAAAUAACCUCAGCUAGGAUUUAAAUCAACUAGCAGUUCUGAUGGGGUAAAAAUCAAAGCAAAAAUGCCCCUGGCCAUAAGGAAUUAUGGCCUAUUAGAAUAAAAUAGGAAAACAAUAUUUGGAGCCAUUUGGAAUAAAUGCAAAACAGUAAUUAAUUUACUGAUUUGGGUUUAUUUGCACCUUUAAAAUCAAAGAACAAAACAGCAAAUUCACACAUCACCAUAACCACAAUUAACUCUAAUCACAAGACAUUUUAGAACAACUUUUGGGAAGAAAGAAUUUGAACAUGAGAUAAUAGGAGGGAAAAAGGAUUUGAAAUAGCAAAGAGCCUUGAAACUACAUAGCACUCACUCCUACACAUCACACACCAACAUCACAUGCAUCACACAAGAUAUUACAAUACCCCAACAUCACACCUAGCAAGAUCACAUGCAAUCAUAACAGGACUUAGAAUCAUAAGGUAUGGCAAGGAUGGUAUGGCAUGGAUGCAUGCAAGCAAAAGAAAAAUAUAAGGUGGCACAUGAAUUCAUACAUGCAUAGAAACUCUCAUGAAAAAGUCAAGGUGGUCCCACAUGGAAGGUUACAAAAAGGGAAAGUCCUACACUUGGGGCAUUACAAACUCUCCCACACUACAAAGAAGAUCUAAGACUGAAAGAAAUUGGGAAAUUCGGAACGUAGGUGAUCCUCGCGUUCCCACGUAGCCUCUUUAUCGGAAUGGUGUGACCACUGCACUUUGAGAAACUUGACAGACUUGUUACGGGUCUUGCGCUCAGUCGCCUCGAGAACCACAACUGGAUGCUCACGAUAAGAAAGGUCAGGCUGAAGAUCGAUAUCCUGAAGAUGCACAGUGCGCUCGGGGUUCUUGAAACACCUCCGAAGCUGAGAAACAUGGAACACAUCAUGGACAUUUGCAAAGGUUGACGGAAGCUCGAGCUGGUACGCGAGGUCGCCCCUUUUGCCAACCACUCUGAACGGACCAACGAAACGAGGCGCAAGCUUGCCUUUGAUGCCAAAACGCUGCAUACCCUUCAUAGGCGACACCUCGAGAUAGACAAAAUCAUCAAGCUCAUAUGACAUGUCACGGUGCUUGCUAUCGUAAUAGCUCUUCUGACGGGACUGAGCUGCUUUGAGGUUGUUGCGAAUGAUCCGACACAUCUCCUCAGCUUCUUCUAUCAUAUCAUUGCCAAGGAUCUGACGCUCGCCUGUCUGGGACCAGUUGAGCGGAGUACGACACUUCCUACCAUAGAGAAUUUCAAACGGAGCCUUGCCAGAACUAGCUUGAUAACUGUUGUUAUAUGAGAACUCCGCGAAAGGCAGGCAAUCCUCCCACUUCAUGCCAAACGAGAUAACACAGGCUCUCAGCAUGUCCUCAAGAACUUGAUUCACUCUCUCCACUUGACCACUAGUCUGAGGAUGGAACGCUAGUGUAGGAACCUGACCCUCACCAGGAAAAAUCCUAGUGUAGGAACCUGACCCUCACCAGGCAACGUGACAAACCCCGGGAAAUUUGUCCGGCAAAGCACACCAAGGACGGAGUUCGGCCUGUGGACUCCAAGAGGGUGUACCGAUCCCCUAUAAGGUCAAAGCAUUAGAUAUUUGAACAAACUUGAAGGCAUAAGUUAAAAAAAGGGUAAAUGUACUUACCUAUCUCCUUCAGGUUUAAUCACCGGCCUCUGCUCGCGGGUAGCCGGGGCGACCGGGAGACGUGUACUACCACGCUUGUACACGGUGGCCCCGUCCACCUGCACAUCGCCCUCACUAUCCGUAAGCUCAUCCCCACCAUCCCCGCCCCCUGGGCCACCCGGACCCUCGGUACGAUCCGGCCAGGUCUCCCAUGCGGGCCUCUCCACGUCGGGUGAAGCCUCCGGAACCGUAGUCUCCUCCGGCUGCUCCUGGGCCGAAUGCACCUCGACCCGAGGCUGCUCCUGGACCGGAGUCUCAUGGGACGAAUGCCCGUCAACAACAGGCUCCUGGAACGGAGUCCCCGUAGCCUCCUCCGCAAACGGGUCGACCAUACUAGUCCUAUGCUCGGGUGAAUGAGCUGGUGGUGGUGGCGAGGACGGCUCAACAGUCCUCCUGGAUCUUCCGCGGCCACCACCUCUCCCUGUACCCUUCCCCUUCUUCCCUACCCGACCAGCAUCUCUCCCAGUGGGCAAUGCCGCCGACGAAGAAGAAACCACGGGAGGUGUCGACAGACUGUCUGCCAAGGCUCUACGGAGAGAUAGGGGUGGAAGGGUGUUGGGUUACGUAGCAUAAAUUCAAAAUUUUCCUACGCAUAUUCAGAUCUUCCUAUGGAGAGACCAGCAACGAGAGAGGGGUAAGAGAAUCUUCAUACCUUUGAAGAUCACUUAGCGGAAGCGUUGCUAGAACGCGAUUGAUGGAGUCGUACUCGCAGCGAUUCCGAUCUAGUGCCGAACUACGGCACCUCCGCGUUCAACACACGUGCAGCCCGGUGACAUCUCCCGCACCUUGAUCCAGCAAGGAGGAGGGAGAGGUUGGGGAAGAACUCUAGCAGCACGACGGCGUGGUGUCGAUGGAGAGACGAGAUCUCCCGGCAGGGCUUCGCCAAGCACCGACAGAGAGGAGGAGAAAGAAGGGCAGGGCUGCGCCGAGCGAGAGGGAGAAGUCUAUCUCCCAAGGGCCAAAAUACCUCUCUAUUUAUAGGAGGAGGGGAGGGGCUGCGCCACCCCUAGGGUUCCCUCCCUAGGGGCCGGCGGCCACCAGAUAGGAAAGGGGGGGCGGCUAGGGUGGGAGGGGGUGGCGCACCACCUGGUGGGCCUAAGGCCCACCUGCGCCUAGGGUUGCCCCCUCUCCCCACCACUUGCGCAUUGGGCUGGGUGUGGGAGGCGCACCAGCCCACCUAGGGGCUGCUUCCCUCCCGCACUUAGCCCAUCUAGCCUCUUGGGGUCGUUGCCCCCCUUCGGUGGACCCCCGGGGCCACCUCCGGUGGUCCCGGUACGUUACCAGUGACGCCCGAAACACUUCCGGUGUCCAAAACCAUCCGUCCUAUAUAUCAAUCUUUACCUACGGACCAUUCUGGAGCUCCUCGUGAUGUCUGGGAUCUCAUCCGGGACUCCUAACAACUUUUGGUAACCUCGUAUAACAAUUCCCUAUAACCCUAGCGUCAUCGAACCUUAAGUGUGUAGACCCUACGGGUUCGGGAGACAGGCAUACAUGACCGAGAUGCCUCUCCGGCCAAUAACCAUCAGCGGAGUCUGGAUACCCAUGGUGGCUCCCACUUGCUCCACGAUGAUCUCAUCAGAUGAACCACGAUGUCAAGGAUUCAAUCAAUCCCGUAUACGAUUCCCUUUGUCUGUCGGUAUAGAACUUGCCCGAGAUUCGAUCGUCGGUAUACCUAUACCUUGUUCAAUCUCGUUGCCGGUAAGUCUCUUUACUCGUUCCGUAGCACGUCAUUGUGUGACUAACUCCUUAGUCACAUUGAGCUCAUGAUGAUGUUCUACCGAGUGGGCCCAGAGAUACCUCUCCGUCACACGGAGUGACAAAUCCCGAUCUCGAUUCGUACCAACUCAACAGACACUUUCGGAGAUACCCGUAGUGCACCUUUAUAACACCCAGUUACGUUGUGACGUUUGAUACACCCAAAGCACUCCUACGGUAUCCGGGAGUUGCACAAUCUCACGGUCGAAGGAAAAGACACUUGACAUUAGAAAAGCUUUAGCAUACGAACAAUACGAUCUAGUGCUAUGCUUAGGAUUGGGUCUUGUCCAUCACAUCAUUCUCCUAAUGAUGUGAUCCCGUUAUCAAUGACAUCUAAUGCCCAUGAUCACGAAACCAUGAUCAUCUAUUGACUAACGAGCUAGCCAACUAGAGGCUUGCUAGGGACACUUUGUGAUCUAUUUAUUCACACAUGUAUUACUGUCUCCUGUUAAUACAAUUAUAGCAUGAACAAUAGACGAUUAUCAUGAACAAGGAAAUAUGAUAAGAACCAUUUUAUUAUUGCCUCUAGGGCAUAUUUCCAACAGUCUCCCACUUGCACUAGAGUCAAUAAUCUAGUUACAUUGUGAUGUAUCGAACACCCAUAGCAUUAUGGUGUUGAUCAUAUUUUGGUCGUGGAAGAGGUUUAGUCAACGGGUCUGCAAUAUUCAGAUCCGUGUGUACUUUACAAAUAUCUAUCACUCCACUCUGGACAUGGUCCUGGAUGGAGUUGUAGCGGCGUUUGAUGUGCUUCGUCUUCCGGUGAAACCUGGGCUCCUUGGCUAUGGCAAUGGCCCCAGUGUUAUCACAGAAGAGUGUCAUUGGACCCGGCGCGCUUGGAACCACGCCAAGGUCGGUGAUGAGCUCCUUCAUCCAAAUUCCUUCAUGAGCUGCUAUGUACUCCGCUUCACAUGUAGAUGCUGCCACGACUUCUUGCUUGCUGCCGCUCCAGCUCACUGCCCCACCAUUCAACACAUAUACGUAUACGGACUGUGACUUAGAGUCAUCCGGAUCUGUGUCAAAGCUAGCGUCGACGUAACCCUUUACGACGAGCUCUUCGUCACCUCCAUAAACGAGAAACAUUUCCUUAGUCCUUUUCAGGUACUUAAGGAUAUUCUUGACCGGUGUCCAGUGUUCCAUACCGGGAUCACUUUGGUACCUUCCUACCAAACUUAUGGCAAGGUUUAUAUCAGGUCUGGUACACAGCAUGGCAUACAUUAGAGAGCCCACGGCUGAAGCGUAGGGGACAGAACUCAUCUUCUCUCUUUCUGCUGUCGUGGUCGGCGACUGAGUCUUACUCAAUCUCAUACCUUGCAAAACUGGCAAGAACCCUUUCUUUGAGUUUUCCAUAUUGAACUUCUUCAAUAUCUUGUCAAGGUAUGUACUUUGCGAAAGACCUAUGAGGCGUCUUGAUCUAUCUCUAUAGAUCUUGAUGCCUAAUAUGUAUGCAGCUUCUCCAAGGUCCUUCAUUGAAUAUUUUUUGUUCAAAUAGGCCUUUAUGUUCUCCAACAUCUCUAUAUUAUUCCCCAUCAAUAAUAUGUCAUCCACAUACAGUAUGAGGAAAGCUACAGAGCUCCCACUUACUUUCUUGUACACACAGGCUUCUCCGUAAACCUGUAUGAACCCAAACGCUUUAAUCACCUCAUUAAAGCGAAUGUUCCAACUCCGAGAUGCUUGCACCAGCCCAUAGACGGAGCGCUGGAGCUUGCACACUUUGUUAGCACCCUUAGGAUCGACAAAACCUUCUGGUUGCAUCAUAUACAACUCUUCCUUAAGGUUCCCGUUAAGGAACGCUGUUUUGACGUCCAUUUGCCAAAUUUCAUAAUCAUAAAAGACGGCAAUUUCUAACAUGAUUCAGAAUUAUUUCAGCUUUGCUACAGGAGAGAAAGUCUCUUCGUAGUCAACUCCUUGAAUUUGUCGAAAACCCUUUGCGACAUGUCGAGCUUUGUAAACGGUUACAGUACCGUUUGCAUCAGUCUUCUUCUUGAAGAUCCAUUUAUUUUCUAUGGCUCGCCGGUCAUCGGAGAAGUCCACCAAAGUCCAUACUUUGUUCUCAUACAUGGAUCCUAUCUCGGAUUUCAUAGCUUCAAGCCAUUUGUUGGAAUCCGGGCCCGCCAUCGCUUCUUCAUAGUUCGAAGGUUCACCGUUGUCUAACAACAUGAUUUCCAUCACAGGGUUGCCAUACCACUCUAGUGCGGAGCGUGCCCUUGUGGACCUUCGCGGUUCAGUAGUAACUUGAUCCGAAGUUUCAUGAUCAUCAUUAUUAACUUCCUCUUCAGUUGGUGUAGGCGACACAUGAACAACUUCCCGCGCUGUGCUACUAUCCUGUUCGAGAGGGGGUGUAAUUACCUCAUCAAGUUCUACCUUCCUCCCACUUACUUCUUUCGAGAGAAACUCUUUCUCUAGAAAGGAUUCGUUCUUGGCAACAAAGGUUUUACCUUCGGAUCUAAGAUAGAAGGUAUACCCAAUAGUUUCCUUAGGGUAUCCUAUGAAUACGCAUUUCUCCGCUUUGGGUUCGAGCUUUUCUGGUUGAAGUUUCUUCACAUAAGCAUCGCAGCCCCAAACUUUAAGAAACGACAACUUAGGUUUCUUGCCAAACCAUAGUUCAUACGGUGUCGUCUCAACGGAUUUAGACGGUGCCCUAUUUAAAGUGAAUGCUGCAGUUUCUAAUGCAUAUCCCCAAAAUGAUAGCGGUAAGUCGGUAAGAGACAUCAUAGAUCGUACCAUAUCUAAUAAAGUGCGAUUACGACGUUCACACACUCCGUUGCGUUGCGGUGUGCCAGGCGGCGUCAGUUGUGAAACAAUUCCACACUUCCUUAGGUGUGUACCAAACUCGUGACUCAAAUAUUCUCCUCCACGAUCAGAUCGUAGACACUUGAUUUUUCUGUCACGUUGAUUCUCGACCUCACUCUGAAAUUCCUUGAACUUUUCAAAUGUCUCAGAUUUGUGCUUCAUCAAGUAGAUAUACCCAUACCUACUCAAAUCAUCGGUGAGAGUGAGAACAUAACGAUAGCCACCGCGAGCUUCAACGUUCAUUGGACCACACACAUCAGUAUGUAUUAUUUCCAAUAAGUCGGUUGCUCUCUCCAUUAUACCUGAGAAUGGAGUCUUAGUCAUCUUGCCCAUGAGGCACGGUUCGCAUGUGUCAAAUGAUUCAAAAUCAAGAUGGAGCUUCUUCAUGCGCUUAACGCCGAUAUGACCAAGGCGGCAGUGCCACAAGUAUGUGGGACUAUCAUUACCAACUUUACAUCUUUUGGUACUCACACUAUGAAUAUGUGUAACAUCACGAUCGAGAUUCAUCAAGAAUAAACCAUUCACCAGUGGAGCAUGACCAUAAAACAUAUCACUCAUAUAAAUAGAACAACCAUUAUUCUCUGACUUAAAUGAGUAGCCGUCUCGCAUUAGGCAAGACCCUGAUACAAUGCUCAUGCUUAAAGCUGGUACUAAAUAACAAUUAUUAAGGUUUAAGACUAAUCCCGACGGUAGAUGUAGAGGUAGCGUGCCGACGGCGAUCACAUCGACCUUUGAACCAUUCCCGACGCGCAUCGUCACCUCGUCCUUGGCCAGUCUCCGCUUAUUCCGCAGUUCCUGCUUUGAGUUGCAAAUGUGAGCAACAACACCGGUAUCAAAUACCCAGGAGCUACUACGAGCGCUGGUAAGGUACACAUCAAUAACACGUAUAUCACAUAUACCUUUAACGUUGCCGGCCUUCUUGUCCGCUAAGUAUUUGGGGCAGUUCCGCUUCCAGUGACCCUUUCCCUUGCAAUAGAAGCACUCAGUCUCAGGCUUGGGUCCAUUCUUUUUCUUCUUCCCGGCAUCUGGCUUACCGAGCGCGGCAACAGCUUUGCCGUCUUUCUUGAAGUUCUUCUUACCCUUGCCUUUCUUGAAACUAGUGGUCUUGUUGACCAUCAACACUUGAUGCUCUUUCUUGAUUUCUACUUCUGCAGACUUGAGCAUCAAGUACAACUCGGGAAUGGUUUUCUCCAUCCCUUGCAUGUUGUAGUUAAGCACAAAGCCUUUGUAGCUUGGUGGGAGAGACUGGAGGAUUCUGUCAAUUAUAGCAUCAUCCGAAAGUUCGACUCCAAAUGAAGUCAGACGACCGUGUAACCCAGACAUUUUGAGUAUGUGCUCACUGACAGAACUGUUCUCCUCCAUCUUACAGCUAAAGAACUUGUUGGAGACUUCAUAUCUCUCGACACGGGCAUGAGCUUGAAAAACUAGCUUCAGCUCCUGGAACAUCUCAUAUGCUCUGUGUUGCUCAAAACGCCUUUGGAGCCCCGUUUCUAAACUGUAUAACAUGCCAUACCUAACCAGAGAGUAGUCAUCACUCCGCGUUUGCCAGACGUUCAGAAUGUCCUGGGCUGCUGCGGGAGCGGAGGGUCACCUAGCGGCGCAUCAAGGACAUAAGCCUUUUUAGCUGCUUCAAGGAUGAGCUUCAAGUUGCGAACCCAGUCCGCAUAGUUGCUACCAUCAUCUUUCAGCUUGUUUUUCUCUACGAAUGCGUUGAAAUUGAGGUUGACGUUGGCCAUCUACAAUAUUUAUAAAGACAACUUUUAGACUAAGUUCAUGACAAUUAAGUUCAUUUAAUCAAAUUAAGCAUGAACUCCCACUUAAAUCGACAUACCUCUAGUCAUCUAAGUGAUACAUGAUCCAUGUUGACUAACCCGUGUCCGAUCAUCACGUGAGACGGACUAUUCACCAUGGUGAGCAACUUCAUGUUGAUCGUAUUCAACCAUACGACUCAUGUUCGAACUUUCGGUCUCUUGUAUUCGAGGUCAUGUCUGUACAUGCUAAGCUCGUCGAGUCAACCUAGGUGUUUCGCGUGUGUAAAUCUGGCUUACACCCGUUGUAUGCGAACGUUAGAAUCUAUCACACCCGAUCAUCACGUGGUGCUUCGAGACAACGAACCUUCGCAACGGUGCACACUUAGGGGAAUACGUUCUCGAAAUUUUAAGAGGGAUCAUCCUAUUAUGCUACCGUCGUUCUAAGCAAUAAGAUGUAAAACAUGAUAAACAUCACAAUGCAAUCAUAUAGUGACAUGAUAUGGCCAUUAUCAUCUUUGCUCUUUCGAUCUCCAUCUUCAGGCAUCGCAUGAUCAUCAUCGUCACCGGCGUGACACCAUGAUCUCCAUCAUCGUGUCUCCGUGAAGUCGUCACGCCAAGUACUACUAUCACUACUACUAUAGCUAACCGUUAGCAAUGAAGUAAAAGUAGUAAGCACAUGGCGUUGCAUCUCAUACAAUAAAUUAAGACAACUCCUAUGGCUCCUGCCGGUUGUCAUACUCAUCGACAUGCAAGUCGUGAAACCUAUUACAAUAACAUGAUCAUCUCAUGCAUCAUACAUGCAACAUCACAACUUUGGCCAUAUCACAUCACAUAUCAAACCCUGCAAAAACAAGUUAGACGUCCUCUAAUUGUUGUUGCAAGUUUUACGUGGCUGAUUUGGGUUUCUAGCAAGAACGCCUUCUUACCUACGUGACAGCCACAACGAUGAUGUGCCAAAGCUAUUUACCCUUCAUAAGGACCCUUUUCAUCAAAUCCAAUCCGACUAGAGUAGGAGAGACAGAUACCCGCUAGCCACCUUUAUGCACGGUGUGCAUGUCUGUCGGUGGAACCAGUCUCACGUAAGCGUACGUGUAAAGUCGGUCCGGGCCGAUUCAUCCCACAAUACCGCCGGAAAAGAAUAAGACUAGUAGCGGCAAGAACAUUUACAAAUCAUCGCCCACAACUUUUGUGUUCUACUCGUGCAUAGAAUCUACGCAUAGAAGACCUGGCUCUGAUACCACUAUUGGGUUACGUAGCAUAAAUUCAAAAUUUUCCUACACAUAUUCAGAUCUUCCUAUGGAGAGACCAGCAACGAGAGAGGGGUAAGAGCAUCUUCAGACUUUUGAAGAUCGCUAAGAGGAAGCGUUGCUAGAACGCGGUUGAUGGAGUCAUACUCACAGCGAUUCCGAUCUAGUGCCGAACUACGACACCUCCGCGUUCAACACACGUGCAGCCCGGUGACGUCUCCCGCACCUUGAUCCAGCAAGGAGGAGGGAGAGGUUGGGGAAGAACUCCAGCAGCACGACGGCGUGGUGUCAAUGGAGAGACGAGGUCUCCCGGCAGGGCUUCGCCAAGCACCGGCAAAGAGAAGGAGAAAGAAGGGCAGGGCUGCGCCGAGGGAGAGGGAGAAGUCUAUCUCCCAAGGGCCAAAUUACCUCUCUAUUUAUAGGAGGAGGGGGAGGGGCUGCGCCACCCCUAGGGUUCCCUCCCUAGGGGCCGGAGACCACCAGAUGGGAAAGGGGGGGCGGUGGCUAGGGUAGGAGGGGGUGGCGCACCACCUGGUGGGCCUAAGGCCCACCUGCGCCUAGGGUUGCCCCCUCUCCCCACCACUUGCGAAUUGGGCUGGUUGUGGGAUGCGCACCAGCCCACCUAGGGGCUGGUUCCCUCCCGCACUUGGCCCAUCUAGCCUCUUGGGGUCGUUGCCCCCCUUCGGUGGACCCCGGGGCCACCUCUGGUGGUCCCGGUGGUCCCGAUACGUUAUCAGUGAUGCCCGAAACACUUCCGGUGUCCAAAACCAUCCGUCCUAUAUAUCAAUCUUUAACUACGGACCAUUCCGGAGCUCCUCGUGACGUCCGGGAUCUCAUCCGGGACUCCAAACAACUUUCGGUAACCUCGUAUAACAAUUCCCUAUAACCCUAGCGUCAUCGAACCUUAAGUGUGUAGACCCUACGGGUUCGGGAGACAGCCAGUCAUGACCGAGACGCCUCUCCGGCCAAUAACCAUCAGCGGGGUCUGGAUACCCAUGGUGGCUCCCACUUGCUCCACGAUGAUCUCAUCGGAUGAACCACGAUGUCAAGGAUUCAAUCAAUCUCGUAUAUGAUUCCCUUUGUGUGUCGGUAUAGAACUUGCCCGAGAUUCGAUCGUCGGUAUACCUAUACCUUGUUCAAUCUCGUUGCCGGUAAGUCUCUUUACUCGUUCCGUAGCACGUCAUUGUGUGACUAACUCCUUAGUCACAUUGAGCUCAUGAUGAUGUUCUUCCGAGUGGGCCCAGAGAUACCUCUCCGUCACACGGAGUGACAAAUCCCGAUCUCGAUUCGUACCAACCCAACAGACACUUUCGGAGAUACCCGUAGUGCACCUUUAUAGUCACCCAGUUACGUUGUGACGUUUGAUACACCCAAAGCACUCCUACGGUAUCCGGGAGUUGCACAAUCUCACGAUCGAAGGAAAAGACACUUGACAUUAGAAAAGCUUUAGCAUACGAACAAUAUGAUCUAGUGCUAUGCUUAGGAUUGGGUCUUGUCCAUCACAUCAUUCUCCUAAUGAUGUGAUCCCGUUAUCAAUGACAUCUAAUGGCCAUGAUCAGGAAACCAUGAUCAUCUAUUGACUAACGAGCUAGCCAACUAGAGGCUUGCUAGGGACACUUUGUGAUCUAUUUAUUCACACAUGUAUUACUGUUUCGUGUUAAUACAAUUAUAGCAUGAACAAUAGACGAUUAUCAUGAACAAGGAAAUAUGAUAAUAACCAUUUUAUUAUUGCCUCUAGGGCAUAUUUCCAACAAAGGGAAGUACCACCCCUCGUGCGGGGCGCCUGGGAAGAACCCGUCGAGCGAUCUGGACCAGCGCCCACCAUCUUUCCACACCUGGUGACCUGCCAUGAUAAAGAUUAAAAGAAAUUAGUACAACAUAAAAAAAUUGAAUAACUGACAUGAAUAAUAAUAAGUACAUGAAUAAUAAAGAUUAAAAUAUAUAUAAUUUAAGUUGUGAAUCUUACAAACUAAUAAUCAUCAUCAAUAAAUGCAUCAUCAUCAUCACUAUCACGCAUGUCUUCAUGAAUGACGUGCUCGUCGGGUUCAACGGCGUGAAGUUGUGAAAGGCCUUCCUUUAAUUGUUGAAGCAUUGACAGGUCAUCCGCAUCAGUAACCUCUACGAGUUCCAGGUCUUCUGGUUCCGGCUCAGCGCUGGAGUCGGAUUCAUUGUCGCUGUCUACUUCCAUGUUCUUGGGUGAAGCACGGCGGUUCUUGAAACGUUUCUUGGAAGAAUUCUCCAUCAUAUGUGUCUGGGUUAAUGUGAGGUUCAUAAUCCUGUUCAUUUGGGAGGUGGUCUGACAUGUGGCGGCACUUCAUAAACAACAUACCAACCUUCCAGAUUCUUAUCCAUUUGGCAUGCCCACGGUAGAUAGAAAACUUGGGUCGCCUGUUGAGCCGUAAUAUAGACAUCGGGAACAUCUAAAUGGGUGUUUGGAUUGAUUUCUACUAGUCCUGUAUGUUCAUGAGUCCUUCUAGUCUUUUUCGGCUGGAACUAAUAACAUUUGAAUACUACGACGUUCGGUGGGUUUUCACCAUAGAAUUGAAGUUCAUAAAUUGCUUCAACUCUUCCACAAUACUCGAUAACACCUUCGCCGAUAGCAGAGACACCACAAUUUGUAGAUUUCCGGUCGGGCAUAGAUAGCUCUUUGCCAAAGGUACGAAAGAGAUACCCGUUGAUGUUGUAUUUCUCAAAUGAACGGACCUUAUAGUCAAAACCAUUAGCGACUUGUCUCAAUUCGGCGUCCAUAGACUCUGAAUUAGCCUACAAGUUUAAUACGAAACGGUUGUUGCAUUAGCCGCAAGUUAGACCAAGAAUGAAAUGGUCCAUUAUUGAUAAUUACCGUUUGUUUGAAUCAAGAGAUGAAACCGGGAUAGCUGCCUCCUAUCUUUGACAGAAGCUCAUACUCUUCGACGGAAUCAUUUUCGAUCACCGCUCCAUCCGAGAAUUUGACGACGUAACGGCUAUUUGAAAUAUCCGGGAAUAAGAGCAGUUCAAAUGAAUUAGAAUUUACGGGAAAAUGUGCCGAGAACUCACUCGAUGUACGGCCGCACUUCUGUUAGGUUGUUGAAGAUAUACAACGAAAUGUUCCGCCAUUCUUCGACAUCCAACGAUAUUGGUUUCGAAGCACCGGCUGGUGCGAGCUUCCCUUUGAAUAGGCUGAGGUUGGACCCACCUUUUUUAGGGUCUGCAUCAUUGUGCCGAGGCUUCGGAUUAUGCAAAUGAUGAUUUUUGGCUUCGUAGUGUGCUGUCACAAAGUUUGCCACCUCCUCAGUAAUGAAUGCCUCAGCCAUCGAUGCUUCAAUUCUACGCUUAUUUUUACAUUUAGCUCGAAGGGUCUUGUGCAUCCUCUCAGUUGCAUAGCACCAACGAUCUUGCACGGGCCCACCCAAUCUUGCCUCGGUCGGUAGAUGUAAAAUCAAAUGCUGCAUUGGAUUAAAGAAGCCCGAUGGAAAGAUCUUCUCUAACUUGCACAACAACUCCGGUGCAAACUCCUCCAUGUCUUCUACCACGCCAGGCGACAAUUCUAUCGCACAAAGAACACGGAAGAAAUAGCUCAGCUCCGCCAGUACUAGCCAUUCAUCCUCCGGAAUAAAGCCACGUAACAUCACCGGCAUUACCCGGUCUAGCCAUAUGUGCCAAUCAUGACUCGUGAGACCAAAGAUUUUUAAUUUUUCAAGACUCGCUCCCCUCUUUAGAUUUGUUGCAUACCCAUCGGGGAACAUCAGGUGCAUUUUGACCCACAAUAUAAUUUCCCUCAUAGCUGGCCUUCCAAGAUUGAACUAGGCCUUUGGCUUCGACCACUUCUGCUUUCCUUUGCCUUCUCGCAUGUUUUGUAACGGUCUAUGACAUAGUGUCUCUUGAUCGACUCUAGCCUUAAUAGUAUCCUUUGUCUUCCCAUCUAUGUCGAACAAUGUACCAAAAAUAGCCUCUCCGAUAUUCUUUUCAGUGUGCAUCAUGUCGAUAUUGUGUGGAAGAAGGAGGUCUUUGAAGUAAGGCAGAUCCUAGAAGCAUGGCUUGUGAGUCCAGGCGUGUUUUGAAUUAUACCCCUUGAAAUACCUUGGAUGCUCUAGAUCAGGCUCGAGGGCGUUUAACUGAUCCAGGAUCUGUUGGCCUGUGAACGCAGGUGGUGCCAAGUUUUUGACAACUUUACCUUUGGUAAAGUUCUUCUUGUCUUUUCUGAACUGAUGGUCAGGAUCCAGGAAUUGUCUAUGCAAGUCAAAGCAAGAAUACUACCGACCCUCCUACAACCAAUGAAACUGAAGGGCUGCCUUGCAUUGGGGGCACAGGAACCUUCCAUGCACACACCAUCCAGAGAAUAGCGCAUACGCUGGCAGUUCAUGCAUAGAGUACAUGUACCACACAUGCAUUUUGAAGUUUUCUUUUCUAGCGGCAUCGUAAUUCUUGACCCCAUUGUCCCAAGCUUCUUCCAAUUCAUCCUUAAGCGGUUGCAGGUACACAUUCAUAUUCUUCCCCGGAUAAUUGGGCCCUGGAAUUAUCAACGUCAGAAAUAUGUUCUUUCUUUGCAUAAUCUGCCCGGGGGGGAGAUUGAGUAGAAUGAAAAAUACAGGCCAACAACUGUAUUGGGUUGCCGUCAUGCCGAAGGGAUUAAAACCAUACGUGGCGGCGCAGACUCGAGGAUUCCUUGGAUCUGCCGCUUUAUCCUGAUGCAAUCCAUCGAAAUGUUUCCACGCUUCCCCAUCCGAUGUGUGUACCAUCAUCUUAUUCCCAUCCGCAUCUAGUUCGGUUCUUUUGCCCAAUUUGUGCCAUGUCAUCUGUCUGGUUGUCUCUUCGACCAUGAAAAGACGUUGAAGUCUUGGUACGAUUGUCAUAUACCGAAGAACACUAACUGCGAUUUUGGUCUGCCUCUUCUCACCCAUACUGUUGUCUACCACAAGAUACCUGCAAGACUCGCAAUUGGGACAAUAGUCCAAGUGUGCAUACUCCUUCCUAAAUAAGACACAUCCUUUCUCACAUGCAUCUAUCUUCUCAUAGGGCAUCUUAAGUACAUGAAGUAUUUUUUCCGACUGGUACAGGUUUGCAGGCAUGACAUGGCCUUUGGGUAGGAAACGUCCAAAUAGUGUCAUCAUCGCGUUGUAGCAUUCUCUUCCCAAGUUGAACUGAGCCUUCAGAGCCAUUACUUGUGCAAUUGCAUCCAGUUGACAGAGCUCAGUGUGCUCAUGGAGAGGACGUUUUGAAGACUCCAACAUUUCAUAAAAGGCCUUUGCAGAUUCCUCCAUCUCAUCUUCCGAAUCCUGAGCAUCAUCAAAGUCUUGCACCAUGUCUUCGAUCCCGGUACCAUGGUCGUCCGUGCGACGACGGACCACCUCAGCUCUUGUGCGUUGUAUAGACUCAUCAUGAAAUGUCCACACCGUAUAAUUAGGCUUAAAACCCCUCCUCUGCAGGUGUUUAAUCAUUACAGCCUCUGUCGUCUUUUUAUAGUUGUCGCAUCCAGGACAGGGGCAAUAGUUUCUUUCCUGGCCAUUUGCGAAUGCGGCUUUCACAAAUUCCUUUGUUUUUACAAACCAUUCUUUCGUCAUCUCUUUCUGACUAGGGUGACCGGUAUACAUCCACGCACGAUCACUCAUCUUGCGUAGCUACUAAAGACAGAAGAAAUAUAUUUAUAUAUAAUUUAGCAUUUAUAUUCAUCGGUUAAUCAGGUUCGCCAUUUUUAUUACGUCCAGGCAACCUACACGCUAAUAGGUAAAGAUAGGUCCUAAUCCCACCCGAGUAUGUGUAGAUUGGGUUCGUUUUCCCAUGCUCUGCUCCGGAUCCAACGCAAAAUUUUGGCAGCACCUCCCCGUUGUUCUCCUGAUACACGUCUCUGCAAUAAACAGAGAGGAUGUGCAUCCGGAGAACAACGGGGGAGGCACUGACGAAAUUCCGCAUCGGAUCCAGAGCACAGCAUACGGGAAAACGAACCCAAUCUACACAUACUCGGGCUGUCCAUGGAUAAUGUUGGACAAUUCGAAAGGAUGGCGGUUAUAAAUAUGCAAAGACAUGCAUAUUUAUAAAUGUCGCCCUUUCGAACGGGAGACGCAUACUGGUCACGCAUACUCAUGAUUGAAGAAACCUAUAUAUAGAUAGCAAGUUUCAUCGGCACGAAGACCGGGACAGAGCAAAUUAAGGGGGUAGGAGGAGAAGUCAUUUGUGCUCACCAACAAACGUAGGGGCGGAGCUCGUCCAACGCACGUGGAGGUCGUCGAACAACUGCACAUUGAAAUUCACCCGAUCAACACAAAUAUGAUGUUUUUAUAAGAUAAUCAAAAAAUAUGUGACCUAACUCUUAUUUUCUUUUUUCUUUUUUCCUCUUAUUCUUCUUCUUAUUAUUAUUCUUAUUUUCUUUUUUCCUUUUUCCUCUUAUUCUUCUUCUCCUUCUUCUUAUUUUCUUCUCUUCUUCUUCUUAUUCUUCUUCUUCUUCUUCUUAUUCUUAUUUUCUUUUUUAUUUUUUCAUCUUAUUCUUCUUCUCCUUCUUCUUCUUUUCUUCUUGUCUUCUUCUUCUUCUUCUUCUUCUUUUUCUUUUUUUCUUUUUUCCUCUUAUUCUUCUUCUCCUUCUUCUUGUUUUCUUCUUCUCUUAUUACUAUUAUUAUUAUUAUUAUUAUUUUAUUUUAUUUUUUCCUCUUAUUCUUCUCUUCCUCUCCUAUUUUUCUUCUUCUUCUUCUUCUUCUUCUUCUUUCUUCUCCUUCCCUUCCUUUUCCUUCUUCUUCUUUUCCUUCUUCUUCUUUUUUUUUCUUCUCCUUUCUCCUUCUUCUUCUUCUNCUUCUUCUUCUUCUUUCUCCUUCUUAUUUCUUCUCCUUCCCUUCAUUUUCCUUCUUCUUCUUCUUNNNNNNCUUCUUCUUCUUCUUCUCCUUCCCUUCCUUUUCCUUCUUCUUCUUCUUCUUCUUUCUUCUCCUUCCCUUCCUUUUCCUUCUUCUUCUUUUCCUUCUUCUUCUUAUUUUUCUUCUUCUCCUUUCUCCUUCUUCUUCUUCUCCUUUCUCCUUCUUCUUCUUCUCCUUUCUCCUUCUUCUUCUUCUUCUCCUUUCUCCUUCUUCUUCUUCUCCUUUCUCUUUCUUCUUCUUCUCCUUUUCUCCUUUACUAAACAGGAAACUAACCUAACUAAACCUAAACUACAACUGAACCUAAACUAAACUAAUUUAACAACCUAACUAACUAGCCUAACUAACCUACUAAACUAAAAAACUAACCUAACUAAUUUAACAUAAAUAAAAAUAAGGAAAAACAAAAAAAAUGGGGGGACUUACCGGCGGGGGCGGCUGGGGCGUCGGGGCGGCGAGGAGGACGGGUGCGACGGGGCAGUGGGGCGUCGUCGGGGGCAGUGCGGCGGCGGGGGGCAGUGGUGGCGACGGUGGGGGCAGUGGUGGCGAUGGUGGGGGGCAGGUGAGGGGGCGGCUGUGACAGCCCGAUGCCGACGUUCCAGAAGAUUCCCCUUUUCUUUCCGUUUUCGUGGUGUGGGUAUUUUCAUUUGUCGCAUCAUGUGCAUCAUCUGCAUUGCAUCGGCAUCUCCGUUGCCGCCAAUUUUCAAAACUUGCAUCCGUUGUUAGUUGCCGGUUCAUGUCGUUGUCCGUUGUGAGCCCGACCGCACACGCACGCGCCCGCGACAUCGUUCGAAUCUUGUUUUUAAAAGUGUGCGUAAAACUUUCUCUGAUCGAGGUGAAACUUGGCAUGCGGUCGUAAGUAGUUAUAGCUAGGCCGCCUGUCUAAUUUCGUCGCGAUCGGAGUUUGUUUGAUACUCGAACAGUUAAACCUAUAGCGGCACUAUAGCCAGUCAAACGUGAGGCGUUUCGGUAUUUUAAACUCUUUCACCGGGUUGCCUGUUUUGCCCUCUCAUCUCCGCCUAGCCCCUCUACACAGUGCACCGACCUGCGCGCAACCUAGCCCAAAAAAACCUCCCGGAACCCGAACCCGGUGGUCGUAACCGUUGGGUCCGGAUCAACCCCGUUAUACCGUAAAUCGUCAUCGGUUUGUCCAUUGGAUACCCUAACCUAUAUUUCUUGACCGUCCGAUCGAACCAGAGGGUCCAGAUCAGCCCUACCCAAACACACCUACCUAUUUAAUCAUAUCAAACCCUAGGAUCUGUCCCAUCCUACCCUAAUUCCAUCCGCCGCCGCCGCACCCCUCCUCUCCUCGGGAUUCUCCACAGUCAGCGCACCCUUGUCUCCUCAUCGAUUUCCCCUCCUCCCCAAUCCCGUUGAACCUCCUCGCCGUGCGUCUCCAGCCGACGCCCUCGACCGCGCUCACAGGCAAGCAUUAGUAGCAGCAGCUCCGCGCGAAGCUCCUGCGCCCAGGGACCUUCUCCUUGCCGUGCUCCCUCUCCCUUCUCUCCUUCCUUCUUCGUUUUCUCUCUCUCUAUGAUUUUUGCAGCUACAGGAGUGCAACGGGGCAUGGCCAGGCCGCGUCUUCGUCGGAGCCCCGUGUCACCGGUGCCCAGCAGGUCGUCCUCCCUCCCCAUCUCUUUUCCUUCCCUCCUUCUCCUUCCUCCUCUAAUCCCUCUCCAUCUCUGGUUCUUUCUUCUCUGUGAGGGACCAAUGAGAUCUCGCCCGCAGGAGCUCACCCCCCCCCCUCAGAUCCACCUUCUACGAUCGAAACCGGAGCUGCCAGGGCCUGCCGGACCUCGACCCCCCUCCAACCGCGCCAUCCCUGACCGGUCCUCGCACGCAGCAGGUCCAAGGCCACUACCUUCGCCAUGUUCAGUUAACUGUCUGUGUGCGCGUGUGUUCGUGGGGAAGAAGACCAGUGCGUUUCUUAUUUGUAGGACUCACCUGCUAGUGUAUCACUCGAGCACCACAGCCGAGCUGGCUAGCACCACUCUGUUUCAUCCCAGAGGUCUGGGGUUCGAAUACCAGAUUGGCCAAUUAUUUUUGCCCUGUACCUAUUGACCUGCACCCUGUCGAAGAGCUCUACUUUUUCUUAGAAUCAUUUGCUAUAGCAAAACAGAUUGCUAGCAGAGUUGGCUAGCGCAGCCACUCUGGUUCCAAGGGGUCCUGGGUUCAAAUCCUAGUUGGCCCAUAUUGUUGUUUUCCUUUGUAUUUUUUUCUCUCUUUUAAUGCUGUCACGCUUGGGCCUGACCUGUUGCACUGUGUCUUCAAAUUUGGCCCACUUCUUUUUUUAUCUACGCUAGGAAUUUAGCUAUUUCAGGAUAUAGGUGUAUUUUCAAACGCCCGUAGAUUCUAUUCCGUGCGUCGGAUUUCGACGAGUUAGAUAUGUAACUUGGCUAGAAUUUUGCGUAGAUUAAUAAUUUAUGACUUUCAUGCAUGAUAAAAUUACAUAAACGUGUUGUUUGCUUUGGUUUGCGUGUCGAUAUGUUAGAAGCGGUUUAGGUCAUAGUUAUUUAACCGUAGCUCCGUUGGAGAUGUGCCAUAUAUGUAAAUGGGCCAGAACGACAAGUAGAAUCAUGUGAACCACUUUGUUUUGCCAUUUAACAAACACAAAAUGUGAUUAGGACAAAUUUGGACAGAAUUAGAAUUUAACAUGUGAGGUCGUUUCGGAGAUGCUAUAUGUCAUUUCCGAUCUCAUUUAAAAUGCCUAGAUAGGUAGUUUAAUUACGCUUCACCUCUUGCCAUGUUUAACAACAUUUAAUAUUGCCGUGUACCUAAUCGAGAUAGAACUAAAUAAUCCGUAUGUGGAGUUUCGUCAAUAUGCAAUUCGUUGCAUAUUGAACUUCACUUAAUGUGUAGUGUUUGAUUGUGUGAUUUGCCAUGCCGUGUCUUGCAUGUAUUCAGCUGCUCAUGCAUCAUAUGUGUUGUGCAUCGUCUGGUGAAUAUCGUGUGUUGAUUUGUGUUUCCGGUUUGCUUCGUCUCGAUAGAGUUCCGCAAGCGUGUCGGAUGUGAGGACCCGUUCGACUACGUCGGUUCGUCUGCUUCACGGAGGCAUUCUUCUUCCAAGCGGGAUCUCAGGCAAGAUGAUCAUUUCCCCAGAUACCAUUACUAUCAUUGUCAUGCUAGUUUUAUUGUUUCUGUCGUUAUGUCUCGUUGCCUACCACAUGUUAAAUUCAGCCUCUCAACAAUGCCAUGAUAACCUUCAACCUGUUCAACCUAGCAAACCACCGAUUGGCUAUGUUACCGCUUGCUUAACCCUGUGUUAGCGUUGCUAGUUGCAGGUGCAGAUGCUUCCAUGUGAAAACAUGGGUUCCUUGCUAUAUCACCAUAUUAAAUGCUAUUUAAUUUAAUGCACAUAUAUACUUGGUAAAAGGUGGAAGGCUCGGCCUUUCUAGCCUGGUGUUUUGUUCCACCUUUGCCCCCUUAAUUUCGGCUACCGGUGUUAUGUUCCAUAAUUGAGCGCUCCUAACACGAUUGGGGUUGUUAUGGGGACCCCCUUGAUAAUUCGUUUUAGAUUAAAGCUGGUCUGGCAAGGCCCAACUUUGGUACUACAUUUGCCUAAACACCUAAUAAAAUUGCAUAGGGACUUUCCGGACCCCGAGGAUAAUUUAAUCAACCCCCGGGCCAGUGCUCCUCAUGAGUGUUGGCCCCACCUGAGCGAUCUCCGGCGCCCCUCUGGUCACCCGGAGGUUUAGCGAUCCCGACGUCUAGCUCAUCCGUCGUGUCCUAAGAACGAGGUACGCGACUCCUAUCGGGAUCGUCGACACGUCGGGCAGCCUUGUUGGAUUAGUUUUACCUUUGACGAGAUAUCUUGUGCAUCGGGAUUCCGGUGAUGCUUUGGUAAUCUCAGAGUUGAGGUUUUCCACUAGGGAAUCCGACGAGAUCGCGAGCUUCGUGAUUGAGGAUUUCUAUGCGGCUUGUGGUAAUUUGUGAUGGACUAGUUGGAGCACCCCUGCAGGGUUAAAUCUUUCGGAAAGCCGUGCCCGCGGUUAUGUGGCAACGUGGAAACUUUGUUCAACACUGGUUCUAGAUAACUUGAAGUUAACUUAAUUAAAAUAUGCCAACUGUGUGCGUAACCGUGACUGUCUCUUUCGUGAGUUCUUUCUUCGAUCGAGGACAUGGUGGGGUUAUGUAUGACGUAGGUAGGUGUUCAGGAUCAUUCAUUUGAUCAUGAGUAGUUUACGUCCGUUAUGCGUAGAUCUUCUCCCUCUUAUUUCUUGUACUCGUAAGUUUAGCCACCAAAUAUAUGCUUAGCCGCUGCUGCAACCUCACCACUUAACCAUACCCCACCCAUUAAGCUUUGCUAGUCUUGAUACCUUUGGAAAUGAGAUUGCUGAGUCCCCUGUGGCUCACAGAUUACUACAACGCCAGUUGCAGGUACAGGUACAGGUUACUUGACGCGAGCGCGUUGAUUGAUCAUUUGGAGUUGCUUCUUCUUCUUCUUCAUCAUCGAUCUAGGAUGGGUUUCAGGCCGGUAGUCUGGGAUAGCAAGGAUGGACAUCGUUCUUCUUUUUCUCGUUUGUUUUCGUCCGUAGUCGGACCCUGCUCUUACUCUUGAUGAUUAUGUAAUGUACUGAUGUGACUCUGAUGUAGCUUGUGGCGAGUGUAAGCCAAUUCUAUAUAUAUAUAUAUAUAUAUAUAUCUUCUUUUCAGUACAUGUACUUGUAACGAUAUCCAUUCUUGCGACACGACGAG